GUACACUCCUGCGGGAGGCAGCAGUGGGGAAUAUUGGACAAUGGGCGCAAGCCUGAUCCAGCCAUGCCGCGUGAGUGAUGAAGGCCCUAGGGUUGUAAAGCUCUUUCACCGGUGAAGAUAAUGACGGUAACCGGAGAAGAAGCCCCGGCUAACUUCGUGCCAGCAGCCGCGGUAAUACGAAGGGGGCUAGCGUUGUUCGGAUUUACUGGGCGUAAAGCGCACGUAGGCGGACUAUUAAGUCAGGGGUGAAAUCCCGGGGCUCAACCCCGGAACUGCCUUUGAUACUGGUAGUCUUGAGUUCGAGAGAGGUGAGUGGAAUUCCGAGUGUAGAGGUGAAAUUCGUAGAUAUUCGGAGGAACACUAGUGGCGAAGGCGGCUCACUGGCUCGAUACUGACGCUGAGGUGCGAAAGCGUGGGGAGCAAACAGGAUUAGAUACCCUUGUAGUCCCA
rnacentral:rRNA from 1 species